rnacentral:rRNA from 1 species
CUACGGGCGGCUCCAGUGGGGAAUAUUGCACAAUGGAGGAAACUCUGAUGCAGCAACGCCGCGUGGAGGAUAACACUUUUCGGAGCGUAAACUCCUUUUAUAUAGGAAGAAGAUGACGGUACUAUAUGAAUAAGCGCCGGCUAACUCCGUGCCAGCAGCCGCGGUAAUACGGAGGGCGCAAGAGUUACUCGGAAUCACUGGGCGUAAAGAGCGUGUAGGCGGAUUAAAAAGUCAGAAGUGAAAUCCUAUAGCUUAACUAUAGAACUGCUUCUGAAACUCUUAAUCUAGAAUAUGGGAGAGGUAGAUGGAAUUUCUGGUGUAGGGGUAAAAUCCGUAGAGAUCAGAAGGAAUACCGAUUGCGAAGGCGAUCUACUAGAACAUUAUUGACGCUGAGACGCGAAAGCGUGGGGAGCAAACAGGAUUAGAUACCCCCGUAGUC